UGAAAUCUCACGGCUUAACUGUGAGCGUGCGGGCGAUACGGGCAGACUUGAGUACUGCAGGGGAGACUGGAAUUCCUGGUGUAGCGGUGGAAUGCGCAGAUAUCAGGAGGAACACCGGUGGCGAAGGCGGGUCUCUGGGCAGUAACUGGCGCUGAGGAGCGAAAGCGUGGGGAGCGAACAGGAUUAGAUACCCUGGUAGUCCACGCCGUAAACGGUGGGUACUAGGUGUGGGUUUCCUUCCUUGGGAUCCGUGCCGUAGCUAACGCAUUAAGUACCCCGCCUGGGGAGUACGGCCGCAAGGCUAAAACUCAAAGAAAUUGACGGGGGCCCGCACAAGCGGCGGAGCAUGUGGAUUAAUUCGAUGCAACGCGAAGAACCUUACCCGGGUUUGACAUGCACAGGACGCCGGCAGAGAUGUCGGUUCCCUUGUGGCCUGUGUGCAGGUGGUGCAUGGCUGUCGUCAGCUCGUGUCGUGAGAUGUUGGGUUAAGUCCCGCAACGAGCGCAACCCUUGUCUCAUGUUGCCAGCGGGUAAUGCCGGGGACUCGUGAGAGACUGCCGGGGUCAACUCGGAGGAAGGUGGGGAUGACGUCAAGUCAUCAUGCCCCUUAUGUCCAGGGCUUCACACAUGCUACAAUGGCCGGUGCAAAGGGCUGCGAUGCCGCGAGGUUAAGCGAAUCCUUUUAAAGCCGGUCUCAGUUCGGAUCGGGGUCUGCAAC
rnacentral:rRNA from 1 species